GACAGAGGGUGCAAACGUUGCUCGGAAUUACUGGGCGUAAAGCGCGUGUAGGCGGACUGGUGUGUCGGAUGUGAAAUCCCCAGGCUCAACCUGGGAACUGCAUUCGAAACUGCCAGCCUUGAGUGGUGGAGAGGGAAGUGGAAUUCCUGGUGUAGAGGUGAAAUUCGUAGAUAUCAGGAGGAACACCAGUGGCGAAGGCGGCUUCCUGGACACCAACUGACGCUGAGACGCGAAAGCGUGGGGAGCGAACAGG
rnacentral:rRNA from 1 species